rnacentral:rRNA from 1 species
UGAUCAGCCAUGCCGCGUGUGUGAAGAAGCCUUCUUGGUUGUAAAGCACUUUAAGCAGUGAAGAAGACUCUUCGGUUAAUACCCGGGGACGAUGACAUUAGCUGCAGAAUAAGCACCGGCUAACUCUGUGCCAGCAGCCGCGGUAAU